GACGAACGCUGGCGGCGUGCUUAACACAUGCAAGUCGAACGGUAAGGCCCCAGCUUGCUGGGGUACACGAGUGGCGAACGGGUGAGUAACACGUGGGUGACCUGCCCCGCACUUCGGGAUAAGCCUGGGAAACUGGGUCUAAUACCGGAUAGGACCGCACCGUGGGGGUGUGGUGGAAAGUUUUUCGGUGUGGGAUGGGCCCGCGGCCUAUCAGCUUGUUGGUGGGGUAAUGGCCUACCAAGGCGGCGACGGGUAGCCGGCCUGAGAGGGUGGACGGCCACAUUGGGACUGAGACACGGCCCAGACUCCUACGGGAGGCAGCAGUGGGGAAUAUUGCACAAUGGGCGGAAGCCUGAUGCAGCGACGCCGCGUGGGGGAUGACGGCCUUCGGGUUGUAAACUGCUUUCACCAUCGACGAAGGUUUUCUGACGGUAGAUGGAGAAGAAGCACCGGCUAACUACGUG
rnacentral:rRNA from 1 species